GACCUAAGAGUGUGAAUAUCAAAUUGACAGGCUACAUGCUGAAUUGGGCUUCCUAUCACUAAAAUGGCUUCUGGCUUGGUUUGCCAUUUCAUUUUCCUAUACACUGCCGAUGUGAGACUGUUCACACGAGUGAUAUUCCAACUUAGUUGUUUAGCAACAUUGGCCUAUAUAUUUGUACCUGUUUUUGUCAAUGUGGCAAUCACACCAUCAAGGUCUGACACCAUUGUGGCAGGCAACAUUUCAAGUGACUCUUCUAUGUGUGAAUGUGCUUCUUUAGCCUGUUGAGUAAUAGCAUUCUCUUGCAUAACUGAAGCGGUAAUUCGUAUGAAGUAGCUUUAAGUCAAAUUUCGCAUAGGAAAUUCUGAUAAUUUAUGGUGUUUCCUUUUAUAAUACUUUUCUUUCGUAGUUAUGGGGCCUUUCCAAGCAGUUUGGAAGAAUAGAAAAAGGAGGAAAG
rnacentral:misc_RNA from 1 species